rnacentral:rRNA from 1 species
AUACGUAGGUGACAAGCGUUAUCCGGAUUUACUGGGCGUAAAGGGCGUGUAGGCGGUCUUGCAAGUCAGAAGUGAAAUUCCUGAGCUCAACUCGGGCGCUGCUUCUGAAACUGCAGGACUUGAGUGCUGGAGGGGAUAGCGGAAUUCCUAGUGGAGCGGUAAAAUGCGCAGAUAUUAGGAAGAACACCGGUGGCGAAGGCGGAUAUCUGGACAGUAACUGACGCUGGGGCGCGAAAGCGUGGGGAGCAAACAGGAUUAGAUACCCGGGUAGUCCACGCCGUAAACGAUGAAUACUAGGUGUAGGGGGUAUCGACUCCCUCUGUGCCGCAGUUAACACAAUAAGUAUUCCGCCUGGGGAGUACGGCCGCAAGGUUGAAACUCAAAUGAAUUGGCGGGG